AGUGAACGCUGGCGGUAGGCCUAACACAUGCAAGUCGAACGGCAGCACAGUAAGAGCUUGCUCUUACGGGUGGCGAGUGGCGGACGGGUGAGGAAUACAUCGGAAUCUACUUUUUCGUGGGGGAUAACGUAGGGAAACUUACGCUAAUACCGCAUACGACCUACGGGUGAAAGCAGGGGAUCUUCGGACCUUGCGCGAUUGAAUGAGCCGAUGCCGGAUUAGCUAGUUGGCGGGGUAAAGGCCCACCAAGGCGACGAUCCGUAGCUGGUCUGAGAGGAUGAUCGGCCACACUGGAACUGAGACACGGUCCAGACUCCUACGGGAGGCAGCAGUGGGGAAUAUUGGGCAAUGGGCGCAAGCCUGAUCCAGCCAUACCGCGUGGGUGACGAAGGCCUUCGGGUUGUAAAGCCCUUUUGUUGGGAAAGAAAAGCUGUAGGUUAAUACCCCGCUGUUCUGACGGUACCCAAAGAAUAAGCACCGGCUAACUACGUG
rnacentral:rRNA from 1 species